AACGCGAAGAACCUUACCUGGACUCGAAAUUUUGUUGACAGUCUCAGAGAUGAGAUCUUCCCGCAAGGGACAGCAGAAUAGGUGCUGCAUGGCUGUCGUCAGCUCGUGUCGUGAGAUGUUGGGUUAAGUCCCGCAACGAGCGCAACCCUCACCCUUAGUUGCUCGCCCGCAAGGGAAGCACCCUAAGGGAACUGCCUCGGAUAACGGGGAGGAAGGUGGGGAUGACGUCAAGUCCUCAUGGCCUUUAUGCCCAGGGCAACACACGUGCUACAAUGGCCGGUACAAAGCGUCGCCAACCCGCGAGGGGGAGCCAAUCGCAAAAAACCGGUCUCAGUUCGGAUUGCAGUCUGCAACUCGACUGCAUGAAGCUGGAAUCGCUAGUAAUCGCGGAUCAGAACGCCGCGGUGAAUACGUUCCCGGGCCUUGUACACACCGGAGUA
rnacentral:rRNA from 1 species